rnacentral:rRNA from 1 species
UACGUAGGGUGCAAGCGUUAAUCGGAAUUACUGGGCGUAAAGCGUGCGCAGGCGGUGUUGUAAGGCAGGGGGGAAAUCCCCGGGCUCAACCUGGGAAUGGCAUUUGGGACUGCAAGGCUGGAGUGUGGCAGAGGAGACUGGAAUUCCUGGUGUAGCAGUGAAAUGCGUAGAUAUCAGGAGGAAUACCGAUGGCGAAGGCAGGUCUCUGGGCUGACACUGACGCUCAUGCACGAAAGCGUGGGGAGCAAACAGG